AUAUUCUGUAGCAAGGUUAACCGAAUAGGGGAGCCGGAGGGAAACCGAGUCUUAAUUGGGCGUUAAGUUGCAGGGUAUAGACCCGAAACCCGGUGAUCUAGCCAUGGGCAGGUUGAAGGUUGGGUAACACUAACUGGAGGACCGAACCGACUAAUGUUGAAAAAUUAGCGGAUGACCUGUGGCUGGGGGUGAAAGGCCAAUCAAACCGGGAGAUAGCUGGUUCUCCCCGAAAGCUAUUUAGGUAGCGCCUCGUGAAUUCAUCUCCGGGGGUAGAGCACUGUUUCGGCUAGGGGGCCAUCCCGGCUUACCAACCCGAUGCAAACUGCGAAUACCGGAGAAUGUUAUCACGGGAGACACACGGCGGGUGCUAACGUCCGUCGUGAAGAGGGAAACAACCCAGACCGCCAGCUAAGGUCCCAAAGUCAUGGUUAAGUGGGAAACGAUGUGGGAAGGCCCAGACAGCCAGGAUGUUGGCUUAGAAGCAGCCAUCAUUUAAAGAAAGCGUAAUAGCUCACUGGUCGAGUCGGCCUGCGCGGAAGAUGUAACGGGGCUAAACCAUGCA
rnacentral:rRNA from 1 species